CCCAAAACAUGCAAUAACCCCAUAAAAAGUAUAUCCUUGGAACCGGGGGAUCUGGGUGAACCACAUAUCCAAAAUUCACCCAGAUCCGUUCAGUACUUUGGAAAAUACAGUUUAAUGCAGAUUCUGCAGAACAUAUACAGGCUAAAUGAAAAACAAUCACUGUAUAAUGUGUCCCCUGCUGUAUAGUCCAAAACCACUGCACGAUGUCUCUGUGCAACAAAUACUGGCGAGAUGGCACCGUGUUGAAAAGUCCAAACAGUGUCUGUGAGUUAAAAUGGCCGCCAUCCAUUGUUCUCACCAUGUGCUUCUGAUACAGGAAAUGGUGGCCACCCAGUAACUCCACAGUAUGUCCCCAGAUGGUUCUUAAAGGGCCAGCAGCAGCACAACACAAAUCCAUUAUGCCCAAAU
rnacentral:lncRNA from 1 species